rnacentral:rRNA from 1 species
AUUGAACGCUGGCGGCAGGCCUAACACAUGCAAGUCGAGCGGAUGAAGGGAGCUUGCUCCUGGAUUCAGCGGCGGACGGGUGAGUAAUGCCUAGGAAUCUGCCUGGUAGUGGGGGAUAACGUCCGGAAACGGGCGCUAAUACCGCAUACGUCCCGAGGGAGAAAGUGGGGGAUCUUCGGACCUCACGCCAUCAGAUGAGCCUAGGUCGGAUUAGCUAGUUGGUGGGGUAAAGGCCUACCAAGGCGACGAUCCGUAACUGGUCUGAGAGGAUGAUCAGUCACACUGGAACUGAGACACGGUCCAGACUCCUACGGGAGGCAGCAGUGGGGAAUAUUGGACAAUGGGCGAAAGCCUGAUCCAGCCAUGCCGCGUGUGUGAAGAAGGUCUUCGGAUUGUAAAGCACUUUAAGUUGGGAGGAGGGGCAGUAAGUUAAUACCUUGCUGUUUUGACGUUACCAACAGAAUAAGCACCGGCUAACUUCGUG